rfam:Corchorus capsularis cultivar CVL-1 contig11030, whole genome shotgun sequence.
ACCAAUUCUGGGGGAUAAAUGGUUCCUCUUGGCAUAAUGGCUCGGACGCAAUAUUAAAAAGUGUGGUUAUCCUGAUUGUUGGCUCUUUCUUUCAUGUCAUUUAAUCCUGGAAACGCCACAAACAUUU